CCUGACGCAGCAACGCCGCGUGAGUGAUGAAGGCCUUCGGGUCGUAAAGCUCUGUCAAGUGGGAAGAACCCUUUCGGUGUUAACAGCACCGGGAGCUGACGGUACCUCCAGAGGAAGCACCGGCCAACUCCGUGCCAGCAGGCGCGGUAAUACGGAGGGUGCAAGCGUUAUUCGGAAUUACUGGGCGUAAAGGGCGCGCAGGCGGCCUGGUAAGUCAGUUGUGAAAGCCCGGGGCUCAACCCCGGAAGUGCGACUGAAACUGUCAGGCUUGAGUAUGGUAGAGGGAAGUGGAAUUCCUGGUGUAGCGGUGAAAUGCGUAGAUAUCAGGAGGAACACCGGUGGCGAAGGCGACUUCCUGGCCCAAUACUGACGCUGAGGCGCGAAGGCGUGGGUAGCAAACAGGAUUAGAUACCCUGGUAGUCCACGCAGUAAACGGUGAUCACUAGGUGUUGGGGGUAUUGAUACCCGCAGUGCCGCGGCUAACGCAUUAAGUGAUCCGCCUGGGGAGUACGGCCGCAAGGUUAAAACUCAAGGGAAUUGACGG
rnacentral:rRNA from 1 species